GCGUUAAUCGGAAUUACUGGGCGUAAAGCGUGCGUAGGCGGCUCUUUAAGUCGGAUGUGAAAUCCCCGGGCUCAACCUGGGAACUGCAUCCGAUACUGGGGAGCUAGAAUUUGGGAGAGGGAAGUGGAAUUUCCGGUGUAGCGGUGAAAUGCAUAGAGAUCGGAAGGAACAUCAGUGGCGAAGGCGACUUCCUGGACCAAAAUUGACGCUGAGGCACGAAAGCGUGGGUAGCAAACAGGAUUAGAUACCCUGGUAGUCCACGCCGUAAACGAUGUCAACUAGCCGUCGGCUCCAACUAAGGGGUCGGUGGUGCAGCUAACGCAUUAAGUUGACCGCCUGGGGAGUACGCGCGCAAGCGUAAAACUCAAAGGAAUUGACGGGGCCGCACAAGCGGUGGAGCA
rnacentral:rRNA from 1 species